AAGGGGUGGAGGCCACAGGACUCGACAGCAUCUCGUAGCCGAGGGGCGGAGCUGGCAAGUUCUGGACCACAGCCAGAACAAUUCAGUAGAAUGUGGAAACAGCUCUCAUUCCAAGCAAACCCAGAAGGGACUCUGGAGAAAGAAUGGCAGUGGUACCUGUUUGGAGCUUCAUGAGUCUCCUCAACUCCAUCACCUGCACUUUCAAGCUAAGCCAAAUGCAGCUGCUUGGCAACCAUAUUGUCUGUAUUUCCCCUACAAUUCCACUCAGUAUAUCUCUUAUACUAUGCUUCUUCCUAAGCAACGUCCAGUGAAUUUUGUUG
rnacentral:lncRNA from 1 species